rfam:Medicago truncatula strain A17 chromosome 4, whole genome shotgun sequence.
AAAAAGGGGUAGUUGGCUAAAUAUGCCACACUCAUCAUAUUGAUGAGUGCUGUAUGGCUAUCACGACAUAUGACUGGCAUAAUUUUUGUGAAUCAAUAGGGUUGGCUCAUUAAGCAGACCCUCA